UGGGGAAUAUUGGACAAUGGGCGAAAGCCUGAUCCAGCCAUGCCGCGUGUGUGAAGAAGGCCUUUUGGUUGUAAAGCACUUUAAGUGGGGAGGAAAAGCUUAUGGUUAAUACCCAUAAGCCCUGACGUUACCCACAGAAUAAGCACCGGCUAACUCUGUGCCAGCAGCCGCGGUAAUACAGAGGGUGCAAGCGUUAAUCGGAAUUACUGGGCGUAAAGCGCGCGUAGGUGGUUAUUUAAGUCAGAUGUGAAAGCCCCGGGCUUAACCUGGGAACUGCAUCUGAUACUGGAUAACUAGAGUAGGUGAGAGGGGAGUAGAAUUCCAGGUGUAGCGGUGAAAUGCGUAGAGAUCUGGAGGAAUACCGAUGGCGAAGGCAGCUCCCUGGCAUCAUACUGACACUGAGGUGCGAAGGCGUGGGUAGCAAACAGGAUUAGAUACCCUGGUAGUCCACGCCGUAAACGAUGUCUACCAGUCGUUGGGUCUUUUAAAGACUUAGUGACGCAGUUAACGCAAUAAGUAGACCGCCUGGGGAGUACGGCCGCAAGGUUA
rnacentral:rRNA from 1 species